UGCGGUGGUCACAGUGUCUCCUCAUAGCAAUAGAAUGCCGACUAAGAUGAUCAUGGAGAGCUGGAGGAGAUAGUGUUCCUCCAUCCAUACUGCUGUACCCAACACGGCUCAUUGACAUGACAACAGAUAUUUGGAAAGGCAUCUGGAAGAACCAUAAAAAAAAAAAGCAGCAAUUAAGGAGCUUGAGUGAAGACACUGUGGGCGGAAGAGGCACACCCAAAAGCCGUAAGGUUACUGAAGACAGUCUUAGUGCAAGAGAACUGGAUGGCAAGUUCUUAUUGUUGAAGACGCCAAACACUUUGGCUGAAGGACAGAGAGAAGUGAGGAUGGGCCUGAUCUGGAAACUCACUCCCUGACUGCCAGGGGGGGGAUUGUCGACAGUCCUGCCAUUAUUGACCCUGCAGGCUACGCUACCAAGAUGCCGGGUAAGACGGGGUGCGACAGUGAUGCAGCCUUUAUGGGUGUGGCUCACUGCUUGCACAGGAGAGCACUCACUUUUAGUACUUUGUAAGUCAGGACAAAAACUUGUGGCCAGAGAAGCUCCUGGCUCUAAGGUCUGGGGAAGCUAUUGCUGCUGUUAAAUGCGUAUGAUGCGCCUAUCAAAUUGCUUUCUAAACAUUUAUGCUUAUAUCCAUAGAUUACUGUUGCUGUCAGCCUUAGUUAUGGAGGGGAAUUUCUUUUUUGCUGUGGGCGGUGGUUAUUAUGGAAACGUAAAACUAGCUGUUAAGAAUAAGUGACAGGCUGGGCGGUGGUGGCGGCGCAUGUCUUUAAUCCCAGCACUCA